AUGUUUUCUUCCAAAUCAGGAGUUCUACGCUGUCUCUGUACACCUCGGUCUGCAGUAGAAGGCAAAGCAGCUACAAUGAUGCAGUCAAUUAACAUUUUGAUGCUGCUAUUUAAUUGCUGUGACGAUCCACACAGCAUUUUAAAUGCUAAAUAAUGUCUCCACCACAACAAUAUUUUUACAGAGCACAUCGGAUAUGUCAGAGUGCAGGCAGGCUACCUAGUUUCGAAGAUCAGAACACGAAACAAACACAACUCAGCCGUUGGCCCUGCACCACCUUCGCCCGGAGUUCUAGCGAAAAUCUCAUCUCUAACCAAAAGAUGAUUAGUAAAGCCACAAGAGACAAGAAAGAAGUUUGAUAAAAUGCCACAAGAAUAUCCUCCAUUGUCUAGGAAUAAUUAAACUACACGGACUCUAAAA